AUUGAACCAAAGUGGAAUCGUUGAUGAAUGUGGAAGGGAAAACAACACGCACACAGAUAUACGCAGAAGGAGAUAGAGACGAUACACUGUUACCGUUGUUCGGAUGGUACCCCAAACAGCAAUUCCUCAGCAGACUGCGAGCAUGCUGGUCAAAGACCAAAUGAGACAUAAAAAUGGCAAUAUUUUGAACUAUUAGAGAAGUGAAUCAAAACAGGAUAAAAUCUAAGACAUCAACAAAUUGAAAUUACAGCAAG